rnacentral:lncRNA from 1 species
UAGGAAAUUGGAGAGAACACAAAGCUCUCAUUUUCUCUCUAAAGUGGCCGGCCCCCUUGGAGGGAUUAGCUAGCAAUCCUACUACUCCAAGGUCACUCAUUUCUUCAUCAAUCUUUCCUUGGUGUGGAGACUUAGAGGUUCUCAAUUUUGGGAACUUGGAGAACCAUUUCAUCCAUCCAAAUCCAUAGAUCUAAGAUGCAAGGAAUGAAGGCCCUCUCUUUGGGUGAUUAGCCUUUGCUUAUGCAAAGAGGAAUUUACAAAGGUAUAAUUUCUCAACUCACUUUGAUUUGAGUUGAGUCUUGGUUCACCAAUCUACUAGGCUUUGAAUUUCAUGGUUAAUGUUUUGUUUUUAAGUGCAUGCAAGCAUGAUUCCGCCUUUAAUUGUUAAUUGCAUGCUUAUAGAUGUUGCUUAAAUGAACAUGUUUUUCACAAAUCAUCCUUCAGAGUAGGGGUUCAAGAACAACUUCAUAAUCAUAUGAUGUUGAUCAUUCUCGUUGCCUACCUUCACAACAUCAUGUAUGCAUAUAGAACUCCUCCUGAGUGUAAGCACGCACUUUGUACUCCCCCAUGAUAGGGUGAAGUCGGUGUACGAGUCACAAACGAUUGGAGCCUACCACGGUGGAAGGCCACAAAAGAGUGUUCAAAGCACUCUCACGCUUAUCAACUUAAUAAUGGUUUGGUUGAGGGUUUUAGGUCUCAUCACAUAUAAGCAUGCAUUUUAAUCUUAUUAAAAGAAUUUGUUCCUAUUACAACUAUUGGUCCAUGUGAUUGAUUUAGCUGCAUAUGAUACUCCCACUAUGCUUGUAAAACGGUUUUUAAAGUAAGAGUAUAUGGUACUACUAACAUAAGGUUUGCAUUCAUUGAUGGACUAUAUAGUUGCCUUAGGGCCUUAGGAUGACUAUGAACCUUUGAUUCGAUCCAACACGAGCCUAGUGUUGAAUCUCGGUCUAGGGAUGAUGAUUGAUUUUAGUUACGUGUUUAAUCACAUUAAGGCGUGUUUUCUUAUUGGGCGUUGGACCCUCUACUUAAUUUUCAUGUAUAUCAAAUAAAGCAAGAAAGAAGUACUUCAAAGUAAAGAAGAGCUUAUGCUCUUUUACAACAUUUGAUCAAAAACAAAUUACUUUAAAGUAAAGAAGAGCUUAUGCUCUUUUACAAUAUUUGAUCAUAUCAAAUUACAACCAAAAUCUAAUAUACACAUUCCCAUGGUUCAAACAAAUUUGAGACGGCCUUUCACAUAGCUCAAUUAUCGUAGGCUUAGGUUCAUAAUCACCCUUUCUUUAAUUAAUUAACGCUUUAACUAAUUAAACUUGAAUGCAGCAUUUUCAUCUGGUUUUUGUAUCCAUAGAAUUGAUUUAAAUGGAGCUAAAUGAAAUGAAAUUCCAAUUCUCAUUUCAAGAUACAAAACUAUUUUGUUCUAAACUAAUUUGGGCCGAAAAACAAUAACCUCAACUAUUGGGCUAUAUUGCAAAACACAAACUUUUGAGGUCACUUUGUAAAAACACAAAAGUCCACUACUUCAUGUAAUUACAACUAGAACCCAAAAAUUUCAUCAAAAUACAAAAACUUCAUUAAAGGAGCAAAACAUUUUGUCCUUUAGUGAUUUUGGGUCUUUACGUAAAAAUGUAAACUUUCGGAUCAAAGUACAAAUACACAAAAAUAUCAAAACUUUAUGUAAUUGCAUAAAAGCCCCAAAAGUACCCUAUUUAAUAGGGUAGCCGGUUUUGGAUGAGAGAAGGUGUCAUAAAACUUUUGAAUUCAACAAAAGUGAAAGGUGAUGGGUAGGUUUGAAAAAGUGAUUUCCAUAAAACAUGGUUCCUUGAAACAAGGAAAAUGUGUAAGUGAUUGGUAUGGUGUGAAUAGUAUAAAAGGUGUGGGUAUUGAUUGAAAAUUCAAACCAUCCAUCAUUAACAAAAACUUUAUGUAAACAACCAAAAACUUUGAAUCAAAAUACCCAACCUUUUUGUUCUUGCCAAAAACAUAACAAGAAUAAUGAAGAACAUCCAUGAAAACCCAUAAGAGCUCCAUGAACAUUUUUCACUCAAAGACACCCCAAAAACUCUCAAACUUAAGGGAAAAAACAUAUCACCAUACUAGGGUACUUAGGGGUUCCUAAUGUCACUUUAAAACACUUUUAACAAGACAACAUGAACCCAAAAAAACACCCUUUGGAUUUGGCCGAAUUUCCCCAAAAACAUGGCACCAAAUUUUACCUUCAAAAUUCAUGCUCAUAUGAACUACAUCUACAACAUUUGA